UACAGAGGUCUCAAGCGUUGUUCGGAUUCAUUGGGCGUAAAGGGUGCGUAGGUGGCGCCAUAAGUCAGGUGUGAAAUCUCGGAGCUCAACUCCGAAACUGCACUUGAUACUGUGGUGCUUGAGUACUGGAGAGGAGAUUGGAAUUUACGGUGUAGCAGUGAAAUGCGUAGAUAUCGUAAGGAAGACCAGUGGCGAAGGCGAAUCUCUGGACAGUUACUGACACUGAGGCACGAAGGCCAGGGAGCAAACGGG
rnacentral:rRNA from 1 species